UACGGGGGGGGCAAGCGUUGUUCGGAAUUACUGGGCGUAAAGGGUGCGUAGGCGGCUCGCUAAGUUAGAUGUGAAAACUCUGGGCUCAACCCAGAGCCUGCAUCUAAAACUGGCGGGCUAGAGUUCUGGAGGGGGUAGCGGAAUUCCUGGUGUAGCGGUGAAAUGCGUAGAUAUCAGGAGGAACACCGGUGGCGAAGGCGGCUACCUGGACAGAAACUGACGCUGAGGCACGAAAGCUAGGGGAGCAAACAGG
rnacentral:rRNA from 1 species